UCGGGAAUUUUGGUCAAUGGGGGAAACCCUGAACCAGCGACGCCGCGUGCAGGAUGAAAUCCUUCGGGAUGUAAACUGCUGUCGGAUGGGACGAAAUCUUUCGGGUGAAUAAUCCGGGAGGAUGACGGUACCAUCGGAGGAAGCACCGGCUAACUCUGUGCCAGCAGCCGCGGUAAGACAGAGGGUGCAAGCGUUGUCCGGAUUGACUGGGUGUAAAGGGCGUGUAGGUGGUCAGAUAAGUCCGUUGUGAAAACAACACCGCUUAACGGGUUGUCCGCAUCGGAAACUGUCUGGCUUGAGUGCAGAAGAGGGAAACGGAAUUCCCGGUGUAGCGGUGGAAUGUGUAGAUAUCGGGAGGAACACCAGUGGCGAAGGCGGUUUCCUGGUCUGUUACUGACGCUGAGGCGCGAAAGCUAGGGGAGCAAACGGGAUUAGAUACCCCGGUAGUCCUAGCCGUAAACGAUGGAUACUAGGUGUGGGAGGUAUCGACCCCUCCCGUGCCGCAGCAAACGCAUUAAGUAUCCCACCUGGGGAGUACGGUCGCAAGACUGAAACUCAAAUGAAUUGACGGGGUCAUAGCUGUUU
rnacentral:rRNA from 1 species